UACGGGGGGGGUAAGCGUUGUUCGGAAUUACUGGGCGUAAAGGGCUCGUAGGCGGCCAACUAAGUCAGACGUGAAAUCCCUCAGCUUAACUGGGGAACUGCGUCUGAUACUGGAUGGCUUGGAUUCGGGAGAGGAAUGCGGAAUUCCAGGUGUAGCGGUGAAAUGCGUAGAUAUCUGGAGGAACACCGGUGGCGAAGGCGGCAUUCUGGACCGAUAUUGACGCUGAGGAGCGAAAGCCAGGGGAGCAAAGCGGGG
rnacentral:rRNA from 1 species